rnacentral:lncRNA from 1 species
CCCAGCAGGAAGAUAUCUGAGGAAUCUAGAGUGAACGAGAUAAUUGGGAGAGACAUGUCCCAGAUUUCUGUUUCCCAAGGAGCAGGGGUGAGCAGGCAGGCUCCCCUCCCGAGUCCUGAGUCCCUGGAUUUAGGAAGAUCUGAUGGGCUCUAACAGUGCUUACUGCAGCCUUGUGUCCACCACCAACUUCUCAGCAUGUUUCUCUCCUUGGACCUUGGGUUUCCAACUCUGCAGCCUUCAGGUCUGGGGCCAGGAGUGGGACCCACCAUUUGUGGGGAAAGUAGCAUUCCUCCACCUCAGGCCUUGGGUAGAUUUGGCAAAAGAACAGGAGCAGCAUAGGCUGUUUGAGCUUUGGGGAAAUGAACUUUGCUUUUUAUAUUUAACUAGGAUACUUUUAUAUGAUGGGUGCUUUGAGUGUGAAUGCAGCAGGCUCUCUUGUUUCCGAGGUGCUGCUUUUGCAGGUGACCUGGUUACUUAGCUAGGAUUGGUGAUUUGUACUGCUUUAUGGUCAUUUGAAGGGCCCUUUAGUUUUUAUGAUAAUUUUUAAAAUAGGAACUUUUGAUAAGACCUUCUAGAA